CAUUUCUUGACUCUUUCCUUUCUCUGACUAGAACGUAAGUGCCUUUGUCUGUGGCCUCUGCCUGUCUGGCCACCUAUGCAUGCCUCACAACUAGAAGGACACUUUGUACAACAGGCACCCAAGAAAUGAUUGUUGAGCAAAUUCUAUCGACAUCCUCCUUCAAAUGGUUUCUCUUCUGAUACCCACCUCAGCACACUUAAAGACACAGGUUCAUUUGAGCUGAGUGUCUCUCUUCCUUGCAACCAGAAGAGGCUAACUGUAAAGAUGCUAGUCCAGACAACAGAGGAAAAAUGAAUCCAUGAGAUUGCUUCCAACUAAACUCGGUGUGAGAAAAAGACAACAGAAGGAAAGCCAUGGGACAGAGGCAAAUCUGAAGAACGUAUGUCUCAUAAGAGAGUGGCAUCCAAAAAUAUAGCAACUCAGCCUCAGCAGAAAGAAAAUAAACAGCCCCAUUUUUUAAAAUAAGCAAAUGCCCUAAAAUGACAUACAAAUGUACCAAGCAUAUGAAAAAUGCUCAACACCCCUAAUAUCCAGAGAAAAACAAGUUAAACCUGUGAUUUCA